AUGAAAAUGUGAAACCUCUCCCGC
rnacentral:miRNA from 1 species